rnacentral:rRNA from 1 species
AUACGAGUUUGAUCCUGGCUCAGAACGAACGCUGGCGGCAGGCCUAACACAUGCAAGUCGAACGCCCUAGUAAUAGGGAGUGGCAGACGGGUGAGUAACACGUGGGAACCUUCCCUAUAGUACGGAAUAGCCCAGGGAAACUUGGAGUAAUACCGUAUAAGCCCGAGAGGGGAAAGAUUUAUCGCUAUAGGAUGGGCCCGCGUAGGAUUAGCUAGUUGGUGAGGUAACGGCUCACCAAGGCAACGAUCCUUAGCUGGUUUGAGAGAAUGACCAGCCACACUGGGACUGAGACACGGCCCAGACUCCUACGGGAGGCAGCAGUGGGGAAUCUUGGACAAUGGGCGCAAGCCUGAUCCAGCCAUGCCGCGUGAGUGAUGAAGGCCUUAGGGUUGUAAAGCUCUUUUGCCGGGGACGAUAUUGACGGUACCCGGAGAAUAAGUCCCGGCUAACUUCGUG